rnacentral:rRNA from 1 species
AGAGUUGAUCAUGGCUCAGGAUGAACGCUGGCGGCGUGCUUAACACAUGCAAGUCGAACGAAGCUCUUAGAACCGAGGAUUCGUCUGAAGCGAUAAGAUGACUUAGUGGCGGACGGGUGAGUAACGCGUGGGGAAUCUGCCCCGUACCGGGGGAUAACACUUAGAAAUAGGUGCUAAUACCGCAUAAGCGCACGGUGUCGCAUGACACAGUGUGAAAAAACUCCGGUGGUACGGGAUGAUCCCGCGUCUGAUUAGCCAGUUGGCAGGGUAACGGCCUACCAAAGCGACGAUCAGUAGCCGGCCUGAGAGGGUGAACGGCCACAUUGGGACUGAGACACGGCCCAAACUCCUACGGGAGGCAGCAGUGGGGAAUAUUGCACAAUGGGGGAAACCCUGAUGCAAGCGACGCCGCGUGAGUGAAGAAGUAUCUCGGUAUGUAAAGCUCUAUCAGCAGGGAAGAAAAUGACGGUACCUGACUAAGAAGCCCCGGCUAACUACGUGCCAGCCGCCGC